rnacentral:lncRNA from 1 species
CCUAAAACUUUGUGACCUAAACAACAAUAAUCAUUUAUUAUCUCACUGAGUCUCUGUGGGUCAGGAAUCUGGGAACAUCUUAGCUUUUUGGUUUUGGCUCAGAACUUUUCAUCAGGUUGCAGUCAAGAUGCUAGUCUGCACGGUGGUUAUUUGAAAGCUGGACAUGGCUGAAGGAUCUGCUUCCAAGGUGGCUCAAUCAUGUUUCGGAGUGCUGGGAUCUGCUGAAUCAGUCAUCACUCAUCCAUCUGCCUUCCAGCUUCCAAAAUGUUGAUGUUUUCUCUUCUUCUUUUUUUUUUCUUUUUUGUUUUUUGAGCUUAGCCCUUUUUAAAAGAUCACUUUACUGUCAUUUCCGUGUAUUUUUGGAAGAGAAACUGUUUGUUCAUUCUAAUGUCUUUAACCAGAAUCUGACCUCUCUACAUUUAACUUUCUUGUUCUUCUCUAAUAAUAGUCCUAAUGAGAUAAGCAGGAAAGAUAUCAUUGCCCUUCUUUUACUGAUAAAAUAUUUGAGAGUUAGAUUGUUUAAGUGACUUGUUUGAGAUUACUAAACAGGUCCUAGAAUAUUCAAGUCUCAGAAGUCAUAUUUGUUAUUCUUUUUACCUAAUGUAAAUUGCUG